rnacentral:rRNA from 1 species
AUUGAACGCUGGCGGAAUGCUUUACACAUGCAAGUCGAGCGGCAGCGCGGCCUUCGGGCUGGCGGCGAGCGGCGAACGGGUGAGUAAUGCAUCGGAACAUGCCCAGUCGUGGGGGAUAACACUUCGAAAGAAGUGCUAAUACCGCAUACGUCCUGCGGGGGAAAGCGGGGGAUCGCAAGACCUCGCGCGAUUGGAGUGGCCGAUGUCAGAUUAGCUAGUUGGUGGGGUAAAGGCCUACCAAGGCGACGAUCUGUAGCUGGACUGACAGGAUGAUCAGCCACACUGGGACUGAGACACGGCCCAGACUCCUAAGGGAGGCAGCAGUGGGGAAUGUUGGACAAUGGGGGCAACCCUGAUCCAGCCAGUCCGCGUGAGUGAAGAAGGCCUUCGGGUUGUAAAGCUCUUUCGGCAGGAACGAAACGGUGGGCUCUAACAUAGUCCGCUAAUGACGGUACCUGAAGAAGAAGCACCGGCUAACUACGUG